AGUUAGAAUGCAGCUUUUACUGAUUGCUAAAUCUCUUGGCACAAAUAUAGCACAAAGAAAGAUGAGAUACUCACACAGACAAGAACCUUGUAGGUGCUUUCAACUAUCCUGGGCUGCAAUAACAGACUGCACUGUGCAGCUGGAGCAGUCCUUCCAGGGACAUUCUCAGACUCGAUGGUGCUUAUCUGAAGGGCUUCAUCCAGGAAACAGCUGCUUGGGGGUAGAAUCAUACCCUUAGAAGGCUUUGAAUUCUGGCACAGAAAUGGCGUAUUUACUCUGAAUAUGUAAAAAAAACACAUUUCUACAAGUAACAAAAAUGAUGCUAAAGAACAGCAACUUCCACCUAUUAUUUUGCACGGUGCGCCUCAGUAGAGCAGGAAGUGGAAAGUUUUCUUUAAAGACAGCUCCAGAGGAAGAACAUGGCAUACGUGUUAUGUUAGAAAACUCUUAGUUCUUUAAAAAUUCAUCUUGAUUGCCAUACAUACUGCCUCUUCUACAUGCUCUAAACUGAAUGAUUUGUUUUUCUAGUGAUCAGAAUGUUUUGGACUGUGCAUAUUCCAGCUUUAGGAAAGUACCCUAACGAGGCCAUGAGAUCACAUUCCAGCUGUUCUGUAUAACAGACUUUGACAAGCUCAUGUGUUGGCAGUGAGCUCUCAGAGGUUGAGCACCAGCGAAAGAAAAAAGGAGCAGGAGGAACAAGAACAGGUUUUACCAGGCAGCCACAUGCACUGACUCUCUGCAAUUUGUUCUCAUGACUUCUAGCAACAACUUCAAAA